GACCGCAAAAGGUGGAAAGGAGGCGACCACUCAUAAGGACACAGCCGGAACUUCCCAACAGUCCAACUGUGGCACCCCAGCACGACCCAGAAGUCUCAGGCUCUGCCAUCACUAGUAGCAGCAGCGACAGUGAAGACACCGCACA